GCACUUGUACUGUGAAACUGCGAAUGGCUCAUUAAAUCAGUUAUCGUUUAUUUGAUAGUACCUUACUACAUGGAUACCUGUGGUAAUUCUAGAGCUAAUACAUGCUAAAAACCCCGACUUCAGGAAGGGGUGUAUUUAUUAGAUAAAAAACCAACGCCCUUCGGGGCUCCUUGGUGAAUCAUAAUAACUUAACGAAUCGCAUGGCCUUGCGCCGGCGAUGGUUCAUUCAAAUUUCUGCCCUAUCAACUUUCGAUGGUAGGAUAGUGGCCUACCAUGGUGGCAACGGGUAACGGGGAAUUAGGGUUCGAUUCCGGAGAGGGAGCCUGAGAAACGGCUACCACAUCCAAGGAAGGCAGCAGGCGCGCAAAUUACCCAAUCCCGAUACGGGGAGGUAGUGACAAUAAAUACUGAUACGGGGCUCUUUUGGGUCUCGUAAUUGGAAUGAGAACAAUUUAAAUCCCUUAACGAGGAACAAUUGGAGGGCAAGUCUGGUGCCAGCAGCCGCGGUAAUUCCAGCUCCAAUAGCGUAUAUUAAAGUUGUUGCAGUUAAAAAGCUCGUAGUUGAACCUUGGGCCUGGCUGGCCGGUCCGCCUCACCGCGAGUACUGGUCCGGCUGGGCCUUUCCUUCUGGGGAACCUCAUGGCCUUCACUGGCUGUGGGGGGAACCAGGACUUUUACUGUGAAAAAAUUAGAGUGUUCAAAGCAGGCCUUUGCUCGAAUACAUUAGCAUGGAAUAAUAGAAUAGGACGUGUGGUUCUAUUUUGUUGGUUUCUAGGACCGCCGUAAUGAUUAAUAGGGAUAGUCGGGGGCGUCAGUAUUCAGCUGUCAGAGGUGAAAUUCUUGGAUUUGCUGAAGACUAACUACUGCGAAAGCAUUCGCCAAGGAUGUUUUCAUUAAUCAGGGAACGAAAGUUAGGGGAUCGAAGACGAUCAGAUACCGUCGUAGUCUUAACCAUAAACUAUGCCGACUAGGGAUCGGACGGGAUUCUAUAAUGACCCGUUCGGCACCUUACGAGAAAUCAAA
rnacentral:rRNA from 1 species